GACGAACGCUGGCGGCAUGCCUAAUACAUGCAAGUUGAACGAUGAUAUUCUCUGCUUGCAGAGAAUUGAAGAGUAGCGAACGGGUGAGUAACACGUGGGGAACCUGCCCAUGAGAGGGGGAUAACAUUCGGAAACGGAUGCUAAUACCGCAUAAUUCUUUGGACCGCCUGGUCCAGAGACGAAAGACGGCUUUUGCUGUCACUCAUGGAUGGCCCCGCGCCGUAUUAGAUAGUUGGUGAGGUAAUGGCUAACCAAAGCUGUGAUACGUAGCCGACCUGAGAGGAUGAUCGGCCACACUGGGACUGAGACACGGCCCAGACUCCUACGGGAGGCAGCAGUAGGGAAUCUACCACAAUGGGCGAAAGCCUGAUGGAGCAAUGCCGCGUGAAUGAAGAAGGUCUUCGGAGCGUAAAGGUCUGUUAUUAGAGAAGAACAAGUCAAGGAGUAACUGUCUUGACUUGGACGGUACCUAACCAGAAAAUCACGGCGAACUACGU
rnacentral:rRNA from 1 species